AUUUCUAGCUUGCUAGAAGAUGACGAGCGGCGGACGGGUGAGUAAUGCUUGGGAACAUGCCUUAAGGUGGGGGACAACCAUUGGAAACGAUGGCUAAUACCGCAUAAUGUCUACGGACCAAAGGGGGCUUCGGCUCUCGCCUUUAGAUUGGCCCAAGUGGGAUUAGCUAGUUGGUAAGGUAACGGCUUACCAAGGCGACGAUCCCUAGCUGGUUUGAGAGGAUGAUCAGCCACACUGGAACUGAGACACGGUCCAGACUCCUACGGGAGGCAGCAGUGGGGAAUAUUGCACAAUGGGCGCAAGCCUGAUGCAGCCAUGCCGCGUGUGUGAAGAAGGCCUUCGGGUUGUAAAGCACUUUCAGUCAGGAGGAAAGGUUAGUAGUUAAUACCUGCUAGCUGUGACGUUACUGACAGAAGAAGCACCGGCUAACUCCGUGCCAGCAGCCGCGGUAAUACGGAGGGUGCGAGCGUUAAUCGGAAUUACUGGGCGUAAAGCGUACGCAGGCGGUU
rnacentral:rRNA from 1 species